rnacentral:rRNA from 1 species
UGCCAGCAGCCGCGGUAAUACGGAGGGUGCAAGCGUUGUCCGGAAUCACUGGGUGUAAAGGGUGUGUAGGCGGGGCUGUAAGUCAGAGGUGAAAUCCCACAGCUCAACUGUGGAACUGCCUUUGAUACUGCAGCUCUUGAGUCUCGGAGAGGUCACUAGAAUUCGUGGUGUAGCGGUGAAAUGCGUAGAUAUCACGAGGAAUACCAGAAGCGUAGGCGGGUGGCUGGACGAGUACUGACGCUGAGGCACGAAAGCGUGGGGAGCAAACAGGAUUAGAUA